rnacentral:rRNA from 1 species
CACGGGGGGAGCAAGCGUUGUUCGGAAUCACUGGGCGUAAAGGGCGUGUAGGCGGUUGGGUAAGUGGGAUGUGAAAUGCCUCGGCUCACCCGAGGAUCGGCAUCCCAAACUGCCUGACUUGAGUAUGGGAGAGGAUGAGGGAAUUCCUGGUGUAGCGGUGAAAUGCGUAGAUAUCAGGAGGAACACCGGUGGCGAAGGCGCUCAUCUGGCCCAAUACUGACGCUGAGGCGCGAAAGCUAGGGGAGCAAACGGG